GCCUAUUAAUGCAAUAAAGCUCAGUUAGAGCGUGAUGCCGAUAACGCCAAGGUUGCAGGUUCGAUCCCUGUAUGGGGCU